AAGGGGAGCAAUCCUCUGAGUAAAGUGGCGACCGGGUGAGUAACACGUGACUAACCUACCCUCGAGUGUGGAAUAACAUCGGGAAACCGAUGCUAAUACCGCAUAACAUCGCAAGAUCAAAGGAGCAAUCCGCUUGAGGAGGGGGUCGCGGCUGAUUAGCUAGUUGGCGGGGUAACGGCCCACCAAGGCGAAGAUCGGUAGCCGGCCUGAGAGGGCGCACGGCCACACUGGAACUGAAACACGGUCCAGACUCCUACGGGAGGCAGCAGUGGGGAAUUUUGCGCAAUGGGGGAAACCCUGACGCAGCAACGCCGCGUGGAGGAUGAAGCCCCUUGGG
rnacentral:rRNA from 1 species